GUUGCUUCAGAGACAUCCGAUAAAAUUGGAACGAUACAAAAAAAAAAUUAGCAAAGUCCUUGUGAAAGAAUGACAAGCACAAAUCGAGAAAUGGUCAAAAAGUAU
rnacentral:snRNA from 1 species